AUUGAACGCUGGCGGCAGGCCUAACACAUGCAAGUCGAGCGAGCGGCGGACGGGUGAGUAAUGUAGGGGGACUGCCCGAUAGAGGGGGAUAACUACUGGAAACGGUGGCUAAUACCGCAUACUAUCGGAUAAUCCAUGUGGGAUUAGCUAGUAGGUGGGGUAACGGCUCACCUAGGCGACGAUCUCUAGCUGGUCUGAGAGGAUGACCAGCCCGACUGGGACUGUGACACGGCCCAGACUCUCUGGGAGGCAGCAGUGGGGAAUAUUGCACAAUGGGCGCAAGCCUGAUGCAGCCAUGCCGCGUGUAUGAAGAAGGCCUUAGGGUUGUAAAGUACUUUCAGCUGGGAGGCGUUACCCGCAGAAGAAGCACCGGCUAACUCCGUGCCAGCAGCCGCGGUAAUUC
rnacentral:rRNA from 1 species